UGCAUGCAAAGUUGUUGCUAGGUUGGUUGCUAGGGUAAUCAUGCUGGUUGGUAAGGUGACAUUUUGGAAGCAGCUGCUUAGUUGUUCUAGGGUACUUACACUCUAAAAAAUGCUGGGUUAUUUUCUGGGUUGAAACUGUCAUUGUGUGGGGUUGCUUUUACUCAUGUUGGGUUAUUUUCUGUAACCCAGCUUGUUGGGUUGAUAGUUUAGGACAGCGCCCCUCCUCUCCCCCACCUGACGUGAGUACACUACCCAGCACCAGGGUAACUUUAACACAGCUGCAUCUAUUUGAGAAUUCGGGGGAAAUCAUUAUUCUUUCAACCGUUCAUGCAGUCCAGAUGCUGUCAACAUGCAAUGGAAAUCAGGCGAUUUCGGAAGCAUACCACUGCAUAGAAGAGAAUGCUGGCAACAAGAAAGUGGGGAUGAGAAGUGAGCUAUCCAGUUGAAUGGAGAGAGACACAGAGAAGUUGCUGCAGUCAGUGAGAGAGCACAGGUUGGGCCGUUGUUGGCCGGAACACGCUAGCAUUCUGCUAAUGAAUGCUGAUUGGUCAGUGACGGACUUGCGACCGAUUACGACCAGAGACCCCGUUUGAUGGCACCUGAAGCUAAAGCAGAAUCAGAAACAUAAACUUAAGGAGGACUUUCUGUCGAAGUUAACUUUUGUGUUCUGUAUUUAUAUUUUCCGAUCCUGCCGGCACUUUUACUUUCAUAUCGUUAUAUAUGUAUUGUAAAAAGUA